GACAGCAGUCGCCACGGUAAAACGUAGGUGGCAAGCGUUGUCCGGAAUCAUUGGGCGUAAAGCGUCUGUAGGUGGCUUUUCAAGUCCGCCGUCAAAUCCCAGGGCUCAACCCUGGACAGGCGGUGGAAACUACCAAGCUGGAGUACGGUAGGGGCAGAGGGAAUUUCCAGUGGAGCGGUGAAAUGCGUUGAGAUCGAAAAGAACACCAACAGCGAAAGCACUCUGCUGGGACGACACUGACACUAAGAGACGAAAGCUAGGGGAGCAAAUGGGAUUAGAUACCCCAGUAGUCCCUGUCUCUUAUAA
rnacentral:rRNA from 1 species